UGGACAGGCACUGAAGUCAUG
rnacentral:misc_RNA from 1 species